rnacentral:rRNA from 1 species
CCUACGGGAGGCAGCAGUGAGGAAUAUUGGACAAUGGAGGCAACUCUGAUCCAGCCAUGCCGCGUGCAGGAAGACUGCCCUAUGGGUUGUAAACUGCUUUUAUACAGGAAGAAACACUCCCUCGUGAGGGAGCUUGACGGUACUGUAAGAAUAAGGAUCGGCUAACUCCGUGCCAGCAGCCGCGGUAAU